rnacentral:rRNA from 1 species
GUAGGUGGCAAGCGUUGUCCGGAAUUAUUGGGCGUAAAGCGCGCGCAGGCGGUCCUUUAAGUCUGAUGUGAAAGCCCACGGGCUCAACCGUGGAGGGUCAUUGGAAACUGGGGGACUUGAGUACAGAAGAGGAAAGCGGAAUUCCAAGUGUAGCGGUGAAAUGCGUAGAGAUUUGGAGGAACACCAAUGGCGAAGGCGGCUUUCUGGUCUGUAACUGACGCUGAGGCGCGAAAGCGUGGGGAGCAAACAGGAUUAGAUACCCUGGUAGUCCACGCCGUAAACGAUGAGUGCUAAGUGUUAGGGGGUUUCCGCCCCUUAGUGCUGCAGCUAACGCAUUAAGCACUCCGCCUGGGGAGUACGGCCGCAAAGGCUGA